rnacentral:rRNA from 1 species
CCUACGGGAGGCUGCAGUAGGGAAUCUUGCUCAAUGGGGGAAACCCUGAAGCAGCAACGCCGCGUGGAGGAUGAAGGUUUUCGGAUUGUAAACUCCUUUUGUUAGAGAAGAUAAUGACGGUAUCUAACGAAUAAGCACCGGCUAACUCCGUGCCAGCAGCCGCGGUAAUACGGAGGGUGCAAGCGUUACUCGGAAUCACUGGGCGUAAAGAGCGCGUAGGCGGGAUAGCAAGUCAGAUGUGAAAUCCUAGGGCUUAACCAUAGAACUGCAUUUGAACCUGUUAUUCUAGAGUAUGGGAGAGGGAGGUGGAAUUCUUGGUGUAGGGGUAAAAUCCGUAGAGAUCGAGAGGAAUACUCAUUGCGAAGGCGACCUGCUAGAACAUAACUGACGCUGAGGCGCGAAAGCGUGGGGAGCAAACAGGAUUAGAUACCCCAGUAGUC